CAGUUCGGAUUGCAGGCUGCAACUCGCCUGCAUGAAGCUGGAAUUGCUAGUAAUCGCGGAUCAGCAAGCCGCGGUGAAUACGUUCCCGGGCCUUGUACACACCGCCCGUCACACCAUGAGAGUCGGGAACACCCGAAGUCCGUAGUCUAACCGCAAGGGGGGCGCGGCCGAAGGUGGGUCCGGUAAUUGGGGUGAAGUCGUAACAAGGUAUC
rnacentral:rRNA from 1 species